UCUGUGGAUCGUUACAUCAAAUGAGAGUAGUUGGUAGCAGAGAGAUCAACGUUACAACCAAAUCAGACGGGAUGAAGCAGAAA
rnacentral:sRNA from 12 species